UGGGGAAUUUUGCGCAAUGGGCGAAAGCCUGACGCAGCAAUGCCGCGUGAGUGAUGAAGGCCUUCGGGUCGUAAAGCUCUGUCAGAGGGGAAGAACCUCCUGCCGGUUAAUACCUGGCAGGCCUGACGGUACCCUCAAAGGAAGCACCGGCUAACUCCGUGCCAGCAGCCGCGGUAAUACGGAGGGUGCGAGCGUUGUUCGGAAUUAUUGGGCGUAAAGCGCGUGCAGGCGGCUCGCUAAGUCUGAUGUGAAAGCCCCGGGCUCAACCCGGGAAGUGCAUUGGAAACUGGCGAACUUGAGUACGGGAGAGGGAAGUGGAAUUCCGAGUGUAGGGGUGAAAUCCGUAGAUAUUCGGAGGAACACCAGUGGCGAAGGCGGCUUCCUGGACCGAUACUGACGCUGAGACGCGAAAGCGUGGGGAGCAAACAGG
rnacentral:rRNA from 1 species